rnacentral:lncRNA from 1 species
CUCUUUUGUACCAUGGACACUAGAAAAUAACUUUAAAAACACUAAAUACUAAAAUGUUUGGAGAUUGUAUAAGAAUAGUUCGCAACAUGACCAUUGUUCCCAUGGGCUAAACCUCCAGAGAGGGUUAAUUAAAUUUCUCUCACAAUAACAAAGCUUUGUCACCAAGUAUGGCGGUAGUCAACAACAUUGAUUUAAAGCCCCCUAUUGUGAACUGUGUUUGUGACGACCAGACAAGGAAGGAAGCCCAGCCUGCCACUCCAACAUUUUUACAAGAAAUUCAGUUGAUUUUUUUUUUCUUUUCCGAUUUCAAGCUGCUGAUUGAGAAGAAAGGGGGGAAUGUUCGUCACUGUGCAGUUUGGGGACAAUCAAAAGGAGAUGUUAAAUCCGAAUUGCAGAAUCAUUAACUUCAUUCACUGCCUGAAAGAGAAAUGCAGCCUGGAACCAGAAGAGUGUGUCGACCUCAUAGAUGAAGCAGGUGAGCUGAUGUGUUUCAGCGAGAGGGAGAGCUCCCCGGAAUUUGCCAGCAGUUUCCUGAAGGAGAGGCACAACUACAUCCUAAUUAAAGUCACGAGAGCAGAAGGCAGUGAAGGAAAUAAGUAUGAGCCUCUUUUGCAGAACACUGGGAAGAGUUACCCUGAUCUAGCAGAUCUUCUGAAGAAGCUGUCAAAUCCUCUCAAAGACAGGGAUAAGAGGAGCUCACUCUCGAAGAAAGCACGUCUGCUCAAAGAGACUCCAGCUACCCCACAGACAAAGAGCAAACCCACCCCCAGUCUGAGAAAGAACUCCAGUAUCACUUACCGGAAUUGACCAGGCCUCUCCUUGACACCAACCCAACUGCAGAAUUCAGCCACGCAGAGGGAACAUUGGAACCUUAGAAUAAAGGAGUGAAAAAGGGUAGGCAGAAGCUAGACUGUUUCAAAAUAAUAAAUAAACCACAUUAUCUUAUCCAGAAAGUCUUAAAGGCCUAUUGCAACAGUUAUUGUUAAACGUAGGGUAGAGUAACUUCCUCAAUUUCAUUAGAGACACCAUUUAAAGGGGCAUUGUCCAAGUGUGUUAGUUUUUAAUACCCAGUGUACACAGUAAUUACAUACAGUUGAUGUUUUUUUCUUAAAUGUGCUUUUGAGAGGCAAUAUAAAUUAAACAGUGGCCACUCAUCAUUCAACUUCUAGGUGCUAGGUGUUUUUUUUAUAGUAAUGCUAGCUUUCAAAGUGACCAGGGCCCUGUGUACGUUAUACAGAAGCAAUAACCGGGCAUUGUACUCUUAUGAAUAACCGAACACUGGCUGACUCUCUGAUUUCAUCAGUAUGCAUUGUCCUUCAUAUACAAAUGGCCUCGUGACCCUUUUCAGUCCUUAAAAAACAAUGCAUGAAGUGGAGAGUUAUUGGUCACGCUUGUUAGAAUUUCCUGGACAGAAACUACAUCAUAAACUUUCCGCAUGUGCUUUCAGCCUCACCCACUCCACCCACCUGCCAUUAUUUGCUAACAAGACCUUUUUAUAACAUGUUAACUAGUUUCCAUUGUUUUCAUAUGAAAUAAAAAAAACCUUAUAAAAUCUGUGUUUCCUGAUGGUUAAUGUCAUAUUUUUAAUGUGUCUUGUGCGAUUACCAAUCCUCUGCUCUGGGUGCCUAGUCUGUUCUGUGUCACUCCAGUGAACUCUUCCUGUGAAACAAGCUUCUGAAAAGAUUUUUGAAAUGUUGAAAACAGGAUCACCAAAUGGGGAAUACAUCGGUGUCAUGCCUUUCUUUUUCAACGGCAGUAAAACCUCAUU